rnacentral:snRNA from 1 species
UCUGAUUUAUGAUAGGUU